rnacentral:rRNA from 1 species
AUGGAUGUGCAGUGCUUGGUGAAGAUGUUGUCCGCAACCCACGAUUCUACUUGUACUAGUGUCAACGCUCCACUUGGACGGCUGCCAGCACCCCUGCAUAGUGGAGGUUGGGAAAGGAGGCAAACUUCUGAGCUGCGGUGUCGAACGACUCGAUGCUGUGUCAUUGAACAACCCAUGGUGGCGGCAGUGAAUGAUGCCGUGCCAUCGCGCAGGGCCAGCACCGAGGCUAGCACGCAUGGGAUCCUGCGUGCGGCGGCUCGUCGGACCUGGAUGGCGGCAAAGAGAACACGGCGGCCCCGCGAUGUGGACCUGGGUGGCCCCGAAGAGGGCCGGGGCUACGGACGAGCUCAGCGGGGAUUCUCGGGGCGGCGGUUCAAUUAG